UGCUAGUAACAGCUACGUGGAAGGGG
rnacentral:piRNA from 1 species